rnacentral:rRNA from 1 species
CAAGUCGACUUGUCCUUUUGAUUAGCAAUAGUCAAAAGAGAGUGGCGCACGGGUGAGUAACACGUAGAUAAUCUACCCUCAGGACUGACAUAAUGUAGAGAAAUCUGCACUAAUAUCAGAUGAAACAAAAUCCUGGCAUCAGAGAUUUUGUCAAAGUUUUAACGCCUGAAGAUGAGUCUGCGGUCCAUUAGGUAGUUGGCGGUUUAACAGACCACCAAGCCGACGAUGGACAGCUGGGUCUGAGAGGAUGAUCAGCCACACUGGAACUGAGACACGGUCCAGACUCCUACGGGAGGCAGCAGUAAGGAAUAUUGCUCAAUGGGAGAAAUCCUGAAGCAGCAACGCCGCGUGGAGGAUGAAGGGCUUUCAGCUUGUAAACUCCUGUAAAGAAGGAAAAAAUUCCCAUUAGAUGGGAGAUGAUGGUACUUCUAAAGUAAGCCCCGGCUAACUACGUG